AUUGAACGCUGGCGGCAGGCCUAACACAUGCAAGUCGAGCGGCAGCACGGGUACUUGUACCUGGUGGCGAGCGGCGGACGGGUGAGUAAUGCCUAGGAAUCUGCCUGGUAGUGGGGGAUAACGUUCGGAAACGAACGCUAAUACCGCAUACGUCCUACGGGAGAAAGCAGGGGACCUUCGGGCCUUGCGCUAUCAGAUGAGCCUAGGUCGGAUUAGCUAGUUGGUGAGGUAAUGGCUCACCAAGGCGACGAUCCGUAACUGGUCUGAGAGGAUGAUCAGUCACACUGGAACUGAGACACGGUCCAGACUCCUACGGGAGGCAGCAGUGGGGAAUAUUGGACAAUGGGCGAAAGCCUGAUCCAGCCAUGCCGCGUGUGUGAAGAAGGUCUUCGGAUUGUAAAGCACUUUAAGUUGGGAGGAAGGGCAGUUACCUAAUACGUAAUUGUUUUGACGUUACCGACAGAAUAAGCACCGGCUAACUCUGUGCCAGCAGCCGCCGUAACAC
rnacentral:rRNA from 1 species